rnacentral:tRNA from 1 species
UUCUGUGGCUUAGUUGAUUAAAUCGCUGCUCUGGCAAAAACAGAGGCGUGGGUUCGAAUCCCACCAGAA